GAUGAACGCUGGCGGCGUGCCUAAUACAUGCAAGUCGAACGAACAGACGAGGAGCUUGCUCUUCUGACGUUAGUGGCGGACGGGUGAGUAACACGUGGGUAACUUACCUAUUAGACUGGGAUAACUUCGGGAAACGAUAGCUAAUACCGCAUAAUAUAUUGUAACACAUGUUUCAUUUGUGAAAGACGCUUUUGCUGUCCUACAUGAUUGGCUCCCCUUCUCAUUGGUAAGAUGGUAAGGAAACGCCUUACCAAGGCACCGUAGCGAAGCCGCCCUAAGAGGGUGAUGGGCCACACGGGACCGAGGACACGGUCCAGACUCCUACGGGAGGCACAAGAGGGGAAUCUUCGGAAAUGGGCGAAAGCCUGACGAGGCAAGGCGGCUGGAGUGAGGAAGUUCUUCGGUUCGUAAAACUCGGUUAUUAGGGAAGAACAAAUGUGUAAGUAACUAUGCACGUCUUGACGGUAGCUAAUCAGAAAGCCACGGCUAACUACGUG
rnacentral:rRNA from 1 species